rnacentral:rRNA from 1 species
AAAAGCUCAAAUUUGAAAUCUGGCGUCUUUGGCGUCCGAGUUGAUUUUGAAAAAGGUAUCUUGGGGCCGGCUCCUGGUCUAUGUUCCUUGGAACAGGACGCCAAAGAGGGUGAGAAUCCCGGGCGAUGAGAGGACCCGGUCCGUGUAAAGUCCCUUCCACAAGCCAGGUGUUGGGGGAAUGGCAAUUC